rnacentral:rRNA from 1 species
UACGUAGGGCGCGAGCGUUGUCCGGAAUUAUUGGGCGUAAAGAGCUCGUAGGCGGCUUGUUGCGUCUGCUGUGAAAUCCCGGGGCUUAACCCCGGGCGUGCAGUGGAUACGGGCAGGCUGGAGGCAGGCAGGGGAGAAUGGAAUUCCCGGUGUAGCGGUGAAAUGCGCAGAUAUCGGGAGGAACACCGGUGGCGAAGGCGGUUCUCUGGGUCUCUUCUGACGCUGAGGCACGAAAGCUAGGGUAGCGAACGGG